rnacentral:rRNA from 1 species
UGGGGAAUAUUGCACAAUGGGCGCAAGCCUGAUGCAGCCAUGCCGCAUGUAUGAAGAAGGCCUUCGGGUUGUAAAGUACUUUCAGCGAGGAGGAAGGCGUUGUGGUUAAUAACCGCAACGAUUGACGUUACUCGCAGAAGAAGCACCGGCUAACUCCGUGCCAGCAGCCGCGGUAAUACGGAGGGUGCAAGCGUUAAUCGGAAUUACUGGGCGUAAAGCGCACGCAGGCGGUCUGUCAAGUCGGAUGUGAAAUCCCCGGGCUCAACCUGGGAACUGCAUCCGAAACUGGCAGGCUAGAGUCUUGUAGAGGGGGGUAGAAUUCCAGGUGUAGCGGUGAAAUGCGUAGAGAUCUGGAGGAAUACCGGUGGCGAAGGCGGCCCCCUGGACAAAGACUGACGCUCAGGUGCGAAAGCGUGGGGAGCAAACA